rnacentral:rRNA from 1 species
GACGAACGCUGGCGGCGCGCCUAAUACAUGCAAGUUGAGCGCUGAAGGUUGGUACUUGUACCAACUGGAUGAGCAGCGAACGGGUGAGUAACGCGUGGGGAAUCUGCCUUUGAGCGGGGGACAACAUUUGGAAACGAAUGCUAAUACCGCAUAAAAACUUUAAACACAAGUUUUAAGUUUGAAAGAUGCAAUUGCAUCACUCAAAGAUGAUCCCGCGUUGUAUUAGCUAGUUGGUGAGGUAAAGGCUCACCAAGGCGAUGAUACAUAGCCGACCUGAGAGGGUGAUCGGCCACAUUGGGACUGAGACACGGCCCAAACUCCUACGGGAGGCAGCAGUAGGGAAUCUUCGGCAAUGGACGAAAGUCUGACCGAGCAACGCCGCGUGAGUGAAGAAGGUUUUCGGAUCGUAAAACUCCGUUGGUAGAGAAGAACGUUGGUGAGAGUGGAAAGCUCAUCAAGUGACGGUAACUACCCAGAAAGGGACGGCUAACUACGUG